GAUUCUUGAGGAAUCACUGCACUGUCUUCCACAACAGUUGAAUUAAUUUAUACUCCCACUAACAGUGUAAAAGCAUUCCUAUUUCUCCACAUCCCCUCCAGAAUCUGUGGUUUCCUGACUUUUACCCAAAUGAUCACAGUUCUAACU